CUCAUUCCUUUGUAAUACCAACUAUCCUAAUAAAAGUCCUGUUUUUUUUACCCAUACUCCCCAGCUGUUGUAGUCCACUUAUAUCCACCCAUAUUUCACACAUACACACUUGCACACACACACGCUUCCCCAAAAGCAAAUGUCAUAUUGUUAAAUAGAUCAAUGAAAGACAAAAAGAAAGGAGGAACAUUUGCUUUCACCCAAGGUAAUUAAGAAAAACAUUGCCGGAAGCAACCUUCUUGUUUGUUCUCUGUACUAAUCAGAUUCGUUGCAUCACAAUUGUCUAUGAUGGGGAGUACGUGAUUUCUAGGUGAAGUGCACAUGAUUCCGAAUACAAAAUGUUUAAUGAAUGCGUUCCUCUGCUGUACAAAAAGAUCUAAGAUAAACAAAUGAAAUGGUUGGAUGGAGAGAACAUGCUUUCUAGGGGAGGGCACAUGGUUUCUGAACAAUUCCCAGAUACACUGUCUAAUGAACAAGUCUUCCUAGGCAAGUGUCUAUUGAUUAAUUCGACGUUAAAAGUUAAUGUGACUUUAGAGCAGUGCAAUGCAUUUCUUCUCGUUCAGCCAA